GGUCCGUUGGUGAAGUGGUCAACACACUAGGUUCUCAUCCUAGCAUUCAGGGGUUCGAAACCCCUACGGACUACCA
rnacentral:tRNA from 6 species